UACGAAGGGUGCAAGCGUUACUCGGAAUUACUGGGCGUAAAGCGUGCGUAGGCGGUUUGGCAAGUCGGGUGUGAAAACUCCGGGCUCAACUCGGAGACGCCACUCGAUACUGCCAUGACUCGAGUCCGGUAGGGGAGUGCGGAAUUCCUGGUGUAGCGGUGAAAUGCGCAGAUAUCAGGAGGAACACCGGUGGCGAAGGCGGCACUCUGGGCCGGUACUGACGCUGAGGAGCGAAAGCGUGGGGAGCGAACAGG
rnacentral:rRNA from 1 species